UACGGGGGGGGCAAGCGUUGUUCGGAAUUACUGGGCGUAAAGGGCUCGUAGGUGGCCAACUAAGUCAGACGUGAAAUCCCUCGGCUUAACCGGGGAACUGCGUCUGAUACUGGAUGGCUUGAGUUCGGGAGAGGGAUGUGGAAUUCCUGGUGUAGCGGUGAAAUGCGCAGAUAUCAGGAGGAACACCAAUUGCGAAGGCAGCUCGCUGGAACGUAACUGACGCUGAGACGCGAAAGCGUGGGGAGCAAACAGG
rnacentral:rRNA from 1 species